CAGUCGCCGCGGUAAUACGGAGGGUGCAAGCGUUAAUCGGAAUUACUGGGCGUAAAGCGCACGCAGGCGGUCUGACAAGUCAGAUGUGAAAUCCCCGGGCUUAACCUGGGAACUGCAUCCAAAACUGGCAAGCUAGAGUACGGUAGAGGGUGGUGGAAUUUCCUGUGUAGCGGUGAAAUGCGUAGAUAUAGGAAGGAACACCAGUGGCGAAGGCGACCACCUGGACUGAUACUGACACUGAGGUGCGAAAGCGUGGGGAGCAAACAGGAUUAGAUACCCGUGUAGUCCCUGUCUCUUAUAC
rnacentral:rRNA from 1 species